rnacentral:tRNA from 1 species
GCAGUCGUGGCCGAGUGGUUAAGGCGUCUGACUAGAAUACAGUUAUCACAGUUCUAGUUAUCAGAUUCCCUCUGGGAGCGUAGGUUCGAGUCCUACCGACUGCG